rnacentral:rRNA from 1 species
AGAGCUCACUUUGGAUCGCUCCGGCGAGUUGUAGUCUGGAGGUGGCCACCACGAGGUGUUCUAGCAGCAGGCAGUCUUUGGACAAGGCGCCAGCGAGGGUGACAGCCCGUACCUGCUUUGCUAGUGCUUCCUGUGGCCCCCGACGAGUCGAGUUGUUUGGGAAUGCAGCUCUAAGUGGGUGGUAAAUUCCAUCUAAGGCUAAAUAUUGGCGAGAGACCGAUAGCGAACAAGUACAGUGAUGGAAAGAUGAAAAGCACUUUGAAAAGAGAGUGAAACAGUACGUGAAAUUGUUGAAAGGGAAGGGCUUGCACCCAGACACGGUUUCGGCCGGGCCAGCAUCAAGUAGAACGGGGUUAAAAGACUUGGGGAAUGUAGCUACUUCGGUAGUGUUAUAGCCCUUGGUGAUGACCCCUGUUUUGCUGAGGACAGCG